rnacentral:rRNA from 1 species
UACGUAGGGUGCGAGCGUUGUCCGGAAUUAUUGGGCGAAAAGGGCUCGUAGGCGGUUUGUCGCGUCGGGAGUGAAAACCCAGGGCUUAACCCUGGGCUGGCUUCCGAUACGGGCAGACUAGAGGUAUGCAGGGGAGAACGGAAUUCCUGGUGUAGCGGUGAAAUGCGCAGAUAUCAGGAGGAACACCGGUGGCGAAGGCGGUUCUCUGGGCAUUACCUGACGCUGAGGAGCGAAAGUGUGGGGAGCGAACAGG